CAGCAGCCGCGGGAAUACGUAGGUGGCAAGCGUUGUCCGGAAUUAUUGGGCGUAAAGGGCUCGCAGGCGGUUUCUUAAGUCUGAUGUGAAAGCCCCCGGCUCAACCGGGGAGGGUCAUUGGAAACUGGGAAACUUGAGUGCAGAAGAGGAGAGUGGAAUUCCACGUGUAGCGGUGAAAAGCGUAGAGAUGUGGAGGAACACCAGUGGCGAAGGCGACUCUCUGGUCUGUAACUGACGCUGAGGAGCGAAAGCGUGGGGAGCGAACAGGAUUAGAUACCCCUGUAGUCCCUGUCUCUUAUAA
rnacentral:rRNA from 1 species